UACGUAGGGUGCGAGCGUUGUCCGGAAUUAUUGGGCGUAAAGAGCUCGUAGGUGGCCUGUCGCGUCGGCUCUGAAAGCCCGGGGCUCAACCCCGGGAGGCGGGUGGAUACUGUCAAGCUCGAGUCCGGAAGAGGAGUGUGGAAUUCCUGGUGUAGCGGUGAAAUGCGCAGAUAUCAGGAGGAACACCAAUGGCGAAGGCAGCACUCUGGGACGUGACUGACGCUGAGACGCGAAAGCGUGGGGAGCAAACAGG
rnacentral:rRNA from 1 species